CACGGUUCCCCAUUACAUAGUCUCCUGGUUAUUUAUAACAGAGGGUAAAAUUAAAAUGAAGCUUUUUGGCUGACACCGCUCUCCACAAUAUAAUUUAUCAGCUAAAAUGUAUAUGAGCCUGCUGUUGUCAUAUAGAAACUUCCAGGUUAUGAACCAGGAAAUGCCCUUCAGGAGUAAUAACCAUCCCAGCAGAACUCUCUUUUAUAUGAAAUCUAAAAAAGGGCCAAGGAAUCUGUAUUUUCUUAAAUACUCAGAGUGAUGCUGAUGUGGAGUGGACUUGUGGCUCCCACAGGCACAGGAAACCCUGGCUCCCAGGCCGCUCAUCCUGAUGUAUUCUCUCUAUGUAGAAAAAAAG
rnacentral:lncRNA from 1 species